rnacentral:rRNA from 1 species
AGGGUUUGAUCAUGGCUCAGAUUGAACGCUGGCGGCAGGCUUAACACAUGCAAGUCGAGCGGUAACAGAUCUAGCUUGCUAGAUGCUGACGAGCGGCGGACGGGUGAGUAACGCGUAGGAACCUGCCCAGUAGUGGGGGAUAGCCCGGUGAAAACCGGAUUAAUACCGCAUACACUCUACGGAGGAAAGGGGGCUUCGGCUCUCGCUAUUGGAUGGGCCUGCGUGAGAUUAGCUAGUUGGUGAGGUAAUGGCUCACCAAGGCGACGAUCUCUAGCUGGUCUGAGAGGAUGAUCAGCCACACUGGGACUGAGACACGGCCCAGACUCCUACGGGAGGCAGCAGUGGGGAAUAUUGCACAAUGGGCGCAAGCCUGAUGCAGCCAUGCCGCGUGUGUGAAGAAGGCUUUCGGGUUGUAAAGCACUUUCAGUUGUGAGGAAAAGUUAGUCGUUAAUACCGGCUAGCCUUGACGUUAGCAACAGAAGAAGCACUGGCUAACUCAGUGCCAGCAGCCGCGGUAAUACUGAGGGUGCAAGCGUUAAUCGGAAUUACUGGGCGUAAAGCGCGCGUAGGCGGCUUGUUAAGCCAGAUGUGAAAGCCCCGGGCUCAACCUGGGAACUGCAUUUGGAACUGGCUAGCUAGAGUACAGUAGAGGGUGGUGGAAUUUCCAGUGUAGCGGUGAAAUGCG